rnacentral:rRNA from 1 species
GUGUCAGCCGCCGCGGUAAUACAGAGGGCGCGAGCGUUGUCCGGAAUCACUGGGCGUAAAGGGCGCGUAGGUGGCCACCAUAAGGCCGCGGUGAAAGUCUGGGGCUCAACUCCAGAUCGGCCGCGGCGACUGUGGGGCUUGGGCACUGUAGAGGCAGAUGGAAUUCCGGGUGUAGCGGUGGAAUGCGUAGAGAUCCGGAAGAACACCGGUGGCGAAGGCGGUCUGCUGGGCAGUGAGCUCGCAAGGGCUCAAUAGCCGACACUGAGGCGCGACAGCGUGGGGAGCAAACAGGAUUAGAAACCCCCGUAGUCC